GGGUAGGCGGUGUCUUGCGGGGCUGGCGUGAAGGAAGAAUCGACGUGGCCUGGUGGGGCGGGCCUCGGCGAAUCGUGAGCCAAUGAGAAGCAGGUGCGGGCUUCCGGGGCGGGGCCUGGGGCCUGCCGUCGGCGGGUUGCAGGCGGGGCCUGCCGUGUUCGGGGUGAGGGUCCGCGUCCGUCCGGAGCUUCAGGCCGCUUUUCCCGCGGAUCCGGUUUCUUGAGCCUCGCCUUGCAGGGGCUGGAGGGCAAGCACAUACGGCUGCCUAGGAUAAAGAACGCACUUCCCAGCCUCCCUCGUGUCUGGUGACGCUUCAUCCUACUGCUUGUAACAUAGAGGUCAUGGGCGGAAGCCGGCUCGGGCCAUGCGGACCGUGGCAGGAGUGGAACAGCCAGCUGCAAGGAGCCUGGAUCCCUGGACAACGUGAGAUUGCAGAGCCAUCAUCCCAGCCCCUGACUGCCUCCUCCACACUGCUCCACGGAGUGGAGACAAACCUCCCGUUUAAGCCAUUGCUACUUUGGACUCCGUUGCAUGAAGCCCAAGUUGUAGCCUAACUAAUUCAGCAGCGUAUGGGGGUAGAGCAUUCGGGCCUUUUUGAUGUUUCUACUCGUGGACUCACAUGUGUGUAUUCUUCUGUAACUUCCCUUUUGACUCAACCGUUGGCAAGAUUCACUAUCAUACUGCAGCUCUGAAUCAUUCCUUCUUGCUGCUCUCUGGAAGUCUACUGUUCAGAUAGCCCAGAAUACAUGUGUUUAUGCUCCCGCUGAGGGCACCUGACUUGUUUCCGGUUAUUUGCCAUUAUAAACAGUGAUACAGUGA